UACGUAGGGUGCAAGCGUUGUCCGGAAUUAUUGGGCGUAAAGAGCUCGUAGGCGGCUCGUCGCGUCGGCUGUGAAAACCUGGGGCUCAACCCUGGGCCUGCAUUCGAUACGGGCAGACUAGAGUAUGGCAGGGGAGACUGGAAUUCCUGGUGUAGCGGUGAAAUGCGCAGAUAUCAGGAGGAACACCUGUGGCGAAAGCGGCUCACUGGACCAUAACUGACGCUGAUGCACGAAAGCUAGGGGAGCAAACAGG
rnacentral:rRNA from 1 species